AGAGUUUGAUCCUGGCUCAGGACAAACGCUGGCGGCGUGCUUAACACAUGCAAGUCUAAGGAGAACGUUUCCUUCGGGGAGCUAGUAAACUGGCGAACGGGUGAGUAACGCGUAGACAAUCUGCCUGGUAGUUCGGAAUAACGUUUGGAAACGGAUGCUAAUACCGGAUGAUUUCUUUCAGUGAUGCUGAAAGAUUAAAGGGGGCUUCGGCUCGUGCUACCAGAUGAGUCUGCGUCUGAUUAGCUAGAUGGUAAGGUAACGGCUUACCAUGGCGACGAUCAGUAGCUGGUCUGAGAGGAUGAUCAGCCACACUGGGACUGAGAUACGGCCCAGACUCCUACGGGAGGCAGCAGUGGGGAAUUUUGCGCAAUGGGCGAAAGCCUGGCGCAGCAACGCCGCGUGAUCGAAGAAGCUUUGCGGAGUGUAAAGAUCUGUCAUAGGGGAAGAAUGUUCGGUAUUCUAACAAAAUACCGUUUUUGACGGUACCCUAUAAGAAAGCCCCGGCUAACUUCGUGCCAGCAGCCGCGGUAAUACGAGGGGGGCAAGCGUUGUCCGGAUUUAUUGGGCGUAAAGAGCUCGUAGGCGGGCUAGUCAGUCAAGGCUGAAAUCCUCCGACUUAAUCGGAGACCUGGUUUUGAUACUGCUAGUCUUGAAUGGGAGAGAGGUAAGCGGAAUUCCUGGUGUAGCGGUGAAAUGCGUAGAUAUCAGGAGGAACACCAAAGGCGAAGGCAGCUUACUGGAUCCAUAUUGACGCUGAGGAGCGAAAGCGUGGGGAGCAAACAGGAUUAGAGACCCUGGUAGUCCACGCCGUAAACGAUGAGUACUUGGUGGUGGGGGAUUCGACCCCUUCGCUGCCGGAGCUAACGCGUUAAGUACUCCGCCUGGGGACUACGACCGCAAGGUUGAAACUCAAAGGAAUUGACGGGGACCCGCACAAGCGGUGGAUCAUGUGGUUUAAUUCGAUGCAACGCGAAGAACCUUACCUAGGCUUGACAUGUCAGUGAACGUUCUGUGAAAGCAGAUCUUUCUACGAGCUUGCUUGUAGACACUGUCACAGGUGAUGCAUGGCUGUCGUCAGCUCGUGUCGUGAGAUGUUCGGUUAAGUCCGUUAACGAGCGCAACCCCUGCCUUUAGUUGCCAGCAUGUAAUGAUGGGGACUCUAAAGGGACUGCCCGGGAUAACCGGUAGGAAGGUGGGGUUGAUGUCAAGUCAGUAUGUCCCUUAUGCCUAGGGCUACACACGUG
rnacentral:rRNA from 1 species